GACGAACGCUGGCGGCGUGCUUAACACAUGCAAGUCGAACGCUGAAGCUCAGCUUUUGUUGGGUGGAUGAGUGGCGAACGGGUGAGUAACACGUGAGUAACCUGCCCCCUUCUUUGGGAUAACGCCCGGAAACGGGUGCUAAUACUGGAUAUUCACUGGUCUUCGCAUGGGGGUUGGUGGAAAGGGUUUUUCUGGUGGGGGAUGGGCUCGCGGCCUAUCAGCUUGUUGGUGGGGUGAUGGCCUACCAAGGCUUUGACGGGUAGCCGGCCUGAGAGGGUGACCGGUCACAUUGGGACUGAGAUACGGCCCAGACUCGUACGGGAGGCAGCAGUGGGGAAGAUUGCGCAAUGGGCGCAAGCCUGAUGCAGCGACGCCGCGUGAGGGAUGGAGGCCUUCGGGUUGUGAACCUCUUUCGCUCAUGGUCAAGCCGCAACAAUGGUUGUGGUGAGGGUAGUGGGUAAAGAAGCGCCGGCUAACUACGUG
rnacentral:rRNA from 1 species